rnacentral:rRNA from 1 species
CAGGCUUAACACAUGCAAGUCGAGGGGCAGCAUGGUCUUAGCUUGCUAAGGCCGAUGGCGACCGGCGCACGGGUGAGUAACACGUAUCCAACCUGCCGUCUACUCUUGGACAGCCUUCUGAAAGGAAGAUUAAUACAAGAUGGCAUCAUGAGUCCGCAUGUUCACAUGAUUAAAGGUAUUCCGGUAGACGAUGGGGAUGCGUUCCAUUAGAUAGUAGGCGGGGUAACGGCCCACCUAGUCUUCGAUGGAUAGGGGUUCUGAGAGGAAGGUCCCCCACAUUGGAACUGAGACACGGUCCAAACUCCUACGGGAGGCAGCAGUGAGGAAUAUUGGUCAAUGGGCGAGAGCCUGAACCAGCCAAGUAGCGUGAAGGAUGACUGCCCUAUGGGUUGUAAACUUCUUUUAUAAAGGAAUAAAGUCGGGUAUGGAUACCCGUUUGCAUGUACUUUAUGAAUAAGGAUCGGCUAAUUCCGUGCCAGCAGCCGCGGUAAUACGGAGGAUCCGAGCGUUAUCCGAAUUUAUUGGGUUUAAAGGGAGCGUAGAUGGAUGUUUAAGUCAGUUGUGAAAGUUUGCGGCUCAACCGUAAAAUUGCAGUUGAUACUGGAUAUCUUGAGUGCAGUUGAGGCAGGCGGAAUUCGUGGUGUAUCGGUGAAAUGCUUAGAUAUCACGAAGAACUCCGAUUGCGAAGGCAGCCUGCUAAGCUGCAACUGACAUUGAGGCUCGAAAGUGUGGGUAUCAAACAGGAUUAGAUACCCUGGUAGUCCACACGGUAAACGAUGAAUACUCGCUGUUUGCGAUAUACGGCAAGCGGCCAAGCGAAAGCGUUAAGUAUUCCACCUGGGGAGUACGCCGGCAACGGUGAAACUCAAAGGAAUUGACGGGGGCCCGCACAAGCGGAGGAACAUGUGGUUUAAUUUGAUGAUACGCGAGGAACCUUACCCGGGCUUAAAUUGCAGAUGAAUUACGGUGAAAGCCGUAAGCCGCAAGGCAUCUGUGAAGGUGCUGCAUGGUUGUCGUCAGCUCGUGCCGUGAGGUGUCGGCUUAAGUGCCAUAACGAGCGCAACCCUUGUUGUCAGUUACUAACAGGAUUUGUUGAGGACUCUGACAAGACUGCCAUCGUAAGAUGUGAGGAAGGUGGGGAUGACGUCAAAUCAGCACGGCCCUUACGUCCGGGGCUACACACGUGUUACAAUGGGGGGUACAGAGGGCCGCUACCACGCGAGUGGAUGCCAAUCCCAAAAACCUCUCUCAGUUCGGACUGGAGUCUGCAACCCGACUCCACGAAGCUGGAUUCGUUAGUAAUCGCGCAUCAGCCACGGCGCGGUGAAUACGUUCCCGGGCCUUGUACACACCGCCCGUCAAGCCAUGGGAGCCGGGGGUACCUGAAGUGCGUAACCGCGAGGAGCGCCCUAGGGUAAAACUGGUGACUGGG